rnacentral:ncRNA from 1 species
UAAAUUUUAAUUUGGUUUUAAAUUAAUUUUAUAAAAUAUAAAUAUAUAUGAAUUUUUAUGCUUUGUAUAUUUAAAUAAUAAUUGUUUAUGGUAAUAUUUAGAAUUAUUAAUUUAUUAAAAAUUUAAUUAAUAGAUAUUUAUAUAGUAUUAAAAAAUUUUGUGCCAGCAUUUGCGGUUAUACAAAAAAUAUAAAUUAAUUUUAUUUUUAUUUAUUAAAUUAAUUUUAAUUUUUUUAAAGUAAAAUAUUUAAAAAAUUAAUGAUAAAAUUUUAAUUUUUUAUUAAUUUUAUUUUUAAAUUUUAUAAAAUUUGAUAGAAAGUUUUUAAAUUUAGACUAGGAUUAGAUACCCUAUUAUAAAUAAAUUAUUAUAAGAUAAAAAUGUUAUUAAAAAAUUAAAAAUUAUGGCGGUAUUUUAAUCUAUUUAGGGGAACUUGUUUUAUAAUUGAUAAUCCACGAUAAAAUAAACUUAAUUUUUUAUAUUUAUGUAUGUUUGUAAAAAAUAUAUUUUAAAGUAAUAUUUAAAAUUUAUUUAAUUAAAAGAUUUCAGAUCAAUAUGUAGUUUAUAAUUUAGAAAAAAUGAGUUACAAAUAAUUUUUUUAAUUGGAUAUAAUUAUUUGAUUAGUUAUAGAAAAAGGAUUUAAUAGUAAAAUAAAAAAUUUUUUUUUUUGAAUAAAGUUUUAAAGUAUGUACAAAUUGCCCGUCACUUCUAUAAAUGAUAGAAUAAGUCGUAACAAAGUAAGUAUAUUGGAAAAUGUAUUUGGAGUUAUAUAUAUAUAUAUAUAUAUAU